AUACCUAUUUGGAUGUGGUCAAUGGGCAAUCAAGGUCCAUGGCCUAGGUUCGUGACCUCCAUUGCACUCGGGAGGAGUGCUAGCCUAAGGUCGGCCCAAGUGGUCGAGCCUACAUAAUAAUUCGUGUUUGUUUACAUGUUCUUGGCUGAUUUUAAC